AGACCACUGCAACCAAUUAUCAAAAUAUUGUCUUCCAUCCAGAGCAGUUUCAGGAAAUUCUUCUGGAUAAGAUUGGAUUUAGAAGGGUGGAAGUCAUCACUUCUGAUGGCUUAUCAGACAGCAAAACUGGAUUUAACAGGCCGAUAUUUGCAUUUAAAAAAUGACUCAGCUAGUAGAGUUGCUGCUUCUGCCUAACUUGUCUAAUAGAUGCAACUAAUUCGUUUCUUUUCAUAAGGUAUAGUAUGUGUAAAUUUCUUAAGACUUUGAUUAGUUCUUUAAAUGUUGUUGCUGCCUAACACAAUACCAUAUUCAGUUUUACAACCGAGGAGAUCUGAAAUAUGUUGGAUCAUCUGUGCUUUGUGUCUCAAUCAGAGCAUGAAUUUCAGCUUUGCAUUUUUGCUGUAAUACUUGGGAUUGGCAUCAUUCUGAAGCUGAAUAUUAAGUGUUCGAGUAAUACCGCUGAUUUGAAGGGAACUUGUGUAUCAGCUGUGAGAUAGUGUCGAUGUAAAACUGUUAUUAGCGCUAAAUGUUAUGCUCUGAUGAAGAAUCAUAUUGGUAAUGGAAUGUGUGACGAGUAGAAAUUAACAGAUUGAGAAUCGGAGUUGAAUUGAAGAAGUUAUGAAGCUUUGAAGUAAAGAAGAGAUUAUAGAUUACGCUUCAGUUUGAGCACGCCUCGGUGUUUGGACAAUAACUAGAGCUUUAGACCUCAUAUUAAGACGAUUAUUUGACUGUUGGAAAACUGAUUCAAAUGGCUAUAUUUCAUAUGUU